AAUGGGCAUAUAAUGAAUCUUAUCAUGUAAACGGGUAAUUUGCGUCUGAAUUUCAUUGACGCUAUAUCACCUUGGAGGCCUGGUGCCAACC